AUUGAACGCUGGCGGCAGGCUUAACACAUGCAAGUCGAGCGAGUGGCUGACGGGUGAGUAAUGUCUGGGAAACUGCCCGAUGGUGGGGGAUAACUACUGGAAACGGUAGCUAAUACCGCAUACCAUCGGAUGUGCCCAGAUGGGAUUAGCUAGUAGGUGGGGUAACGGCUCACCUAGGCGACGAGCCCUAGCUGGUCUGAGAGGAUGACCAGCGACACUGGAACUGAGACACGGUCCAGACUCCUACGGGAGGCAGCAGUGGGGAAUAGUGCACAAUGGGCGCAAGCCUGAUGCAGCCAUGCCGCGUGUAUGAAGAAGGCCUUCGGGUUGUAAAGUACUUUCAGCGAGGAGGCGUUACUCGCAGAAGAAGCACCGGCUAACUCCGUGCCAGCAGCCGCGGUAAUUC
rnacentral:rRNA from 1 species